UGCAAGUCGAGCGAGGCCCUUCCUUCGGGAAGGUGUCCUAGCGGCGAACGGGUGAGUAACACGUGGGCAACCUGCCCCUAGCACUGGGAUAACCCCGGGAAACCGGGGCUAAUACCGGAUACGACCUCCUUGGGCAUCCUUGGAGGUGGAAAAGGUUACUGGCUAGGGAUGGGCCCGCGGCCUAUCAGCUUGUUGGUGGGGUAACGGCCUACCAAGGCGACGACGGGUAGCCGGCCUGAGAGGGCGACCGGCCACACUGGGACUGAGACACGGCCCAGACUCCUACGGGAGGCAGCAGUGGGGAAUAUUGCACAAUGGGCGAAAGCCUGAUGCAGCGACGCCGCGUGAGGGAUGACGGCCUUCGGGUUGUAAACCUCUUUCAGCAGGGACGAAGCGAAAGUGACGGUACCUGCAGAAGAAGCACCGGCCAACUACGUGCCAGCAGCCGCGGUAAUACGUAGGGUGCAAGCGUUGUCCGGAAUUAUUGGGCGUAAAGAGCUCGUAGGCGGUUUGUCGCGUCGGCUGUGAAAACCUAGGGCUCAACCCUGGGCCUGCAGCCGAUACGGGCAAACUAGAAUUCGGUAGGGGAGACUGGAAUUCCUGGUGUAGCGGUGAAAUGCGCAGAUAUCAGGAGGAACACCGGUGGCGAAGGCGGGUCUCUGGGCCGAUAUUGACGCUGAGGAGCGAAAGCGUGGGGAGCGAACAGGAUUAGAUACCCUGGUAGUCCACGCCGUAAACGUUGGGAACUAGGUGUGGGCUCCAUUCCACGGAGUCUGUGCCGCAGCUAACGCAUUAAGUUCCCCGCCUGGGGAGUANGGNCGCAAGGCUAAACUCAAAGGAAUUGACGGGGGCCCGCACAAGCGGCGGANCAUGUGGCUUAAUUCGAUGCAACGCGAAGAACCUUACCUGGGCUUGACAUGCNNGNAAAUCUCNUANAAAAANGGGUCCGUAAGGGCCUUGCAC
rnacentral:rRNA from 1 species